AGCAGACAGCCAAAGGCUUCUAAAUGAGGUGAUGGUGGAACACUUCUUCCGACAAGGAAUGCUGGAUGUAGCUGAGGAGCUCUGCCAGGAAUCUGGUCUUUCUGUAGACCCAAGUCAGAAAGAACCAUUUGUGGAGUUAAAU